UACGUAGGUGGCGAGCGUUGUCCGGAUUUAUUGGGCGUAAAGCGCGCGCAGGCGGUCGCGUAAGUCUGCUGUGAAAUCUCCCUGGCUCAACCGGGAGGGGGCGGCGGAGACUGCGGGACUGGAGGGACCUAGCGGCCGGUGGAAUUCCCGGUGUAGUGGUGAAAUGCGUAGAGAGUCGGGAGGAACACCUGUGGCGAAGGCGGCCGGCUGGGGGUGCCCUGACGCUGAGGCGCGAAAGCGUGGGGAGCGAACCGG
rnacentral:rRNA from 1 species